GACGAACGCUGGCGGCGUGCUUAACACAUGCAAGUCGAGCGGUAAGGCCCUUUCGGGGGUACACGAGCGGCGAACGGGUGAGUAACACGUGGGUGACCUGCCCUCAGCUCUGGGAUAAAGCCCGGGAAACUGGGUCUAAUACUGGAUAUGACUCCAUGACGCAUGUUGUGGGGUGGAAAGCCUUGUGCGGCUGAGGAUGGGCCCGCGGCCUAUCAGCUUGUUGGUGGGGNGAUGGCCUACCAAGGCGACGACGGGUAGCCGGCCUGAGAGGGCGACCGGCCACACUGGGACUGAGACACGGCCCAGACUCCUACGGGAGGCAGCAGUGGGGAAUCUUGCGCAAUGGGCGAAAGCCUGACGCAGCGACGCCGCGUGAGGGAUGACGGCCUGGU
rnacentral:rRNA from 1 species